ensembl:lncRNA
AUCUUCUCCUUCCGAAUGGCUUUUGAAAGCUGAUGAUGUGAUUUGAGCAGAAUUUCACUCUAGGACUUUUCAGGAUCUGAUGUCUGAUGCUGAGAUGGAAAAUGAUCUGAGACUGACUCAACUCAUCAGCUUCUGACACCCAAAGGACGCUCCACUCCUGCUUGUGCACUUUCUGCCACCUUCAUGAAACUUCAGCCUUGUCUUCUUUUCCACCAGAGGCAAACUCUGUAUUCUGAGCUGUCCCCCUUAACUAUUGAGUAUCUCAGCCCAGACAAUGGGCUCCUGCCUCCAGGAGUGUGCGACUGAAAUAAAUCCACUGACUUGAGCAGCCCUGCUCCAUCGCAACCGAGAGCCGAAGCUGGUCUCCAACACACAAACUUCCAUGGAGCACAAGCCAGGGAACAGCAUACAGGUAAGCAGCAUUUUUAACUCCUUAGCAUGGCUUGUGUUUGUACCUGCCCUGGCUCAUGGUUUAUACACAUAGAGUAGGUAUUAAAUAUCACUGUCUUUGCACUACG